rnacentral:rRNA from 1 species
CGUGAGCAAUCUGCCUUGGAGUGGGGAAUAACGGCUGGAAACAGCCGCUAAUACCGCAUGAUACAGCUGGGAGGCAUCUCCCUGGCUGUCAAAGAUUUAUCGCUCUGAGAUGAGCUCGCGUCUGAUUAGCUAGUUGGCGGGGUAACGGCCCACCAAGGCGACGAUCAGUAGCCGGACUGAGAGGUUGGCCGGCCACAUUGGGACUGAGACACGGCCCAGACUCCUACGGGAGGCAGCAG